UAUUAAUUUAAGCCACAAGUUUGCUGUGAUUUAUUACUGCUGUCCAAGAGACUAGUUCAGUAAUAAUACCAGCAGCCAACAUUUAUGGAGUGCCUACCCUGUGCCUGGCACGGUUCUAAGUUUUACAUGCAUCAUUUCAUGUAAUGCACGGUUUACAUGCAUUGUUUCAUUUAAUUCCUACCACCAACCCAAUGAAGUGGACAUAUACAAGCAAUGUCAACAAAAGCAGGUUUGGGUUUUGUUUUGUUUUGUUUUGUUUUUAUUGAGGGUUUUUCAUGUCUUUGGCAUUUGAAAAUUGAACCGUCCACCUGAGCGGCAUGUUUCAUUAUUUUUCUCUUUUAUGCGUGAGGAGCCUGUAGACCCAAAACUUAGGUAAUUGCCCAAGGUUACACAAUGAGUAUGUAGUGGAGCCAGGAUUCCAGCCCUGGUAACUCCUGUGGGUGCCUUUAACUGCUUUGCACUUCCCAGGCUGCUGGUAGAGAGAGAUCCCACGAGGCCGAUGGGCCGAGUGGCCCAGGGCUGGGUAUUGCAGUUGCAGGGCUGGAAGUGGCCAAGCGGCCGGUGAGUUUGGGGGAAAGACUGGGGCUAGGAGAGUAAGUCGGGCUGAAGGAGGAGGAGAUGGGAGGUCUUGGUGACCUCAGAGAGCAUAAGCCCCUGGAGCAACAGAGCAAGAGCCUCGUCUGUGGCCCCCCCUGGGGACUCUGGCUUUUAAGAUCCCUGAGCCGGCACAGUUCUGAGACAUGAUAGGUCUAGUUGUGGCCAUGGGAGUAAGUGAUCAAACAUCAGUGGGGCGGCAGGGGGGACAGGAGGGGUGUGGGCAGGGAGAUUGUCAGUCGACUCCACUUGGUCAAGGAACCUGGGAGACAAAGAUCAUACCAUAACUGAUCGACUGCUCUGGGAGUUCAAAGCCUUGAGCCAACACCACUCUUUGUUCUUAUCAUGAAACAAAUGGAACCUGAGCUGGUUCUUGAAAAACAGAUAGGAGAUGACGAAUGCAAAAGCCAGCAGGGCUUCUAGGUAACAGGCACAGCAAGAACAAAGACAUGGAAGGCCAAUGCACAGGGCAUCUAGUUGAGAGUUUAAGUUGGCUCUAGUCAAGGGUGCAUGAAACGAGACAAUGGGACUGAACUUUGAAAGUGUCCUAAUUUGGGUACCCUACAAAGCAGACACUGAAUCCAAGAUUUAGGUGCAGGUGCUAGAUUUCACAGGGUGUCCUCAGGAAGCGUAGUGAAGGAGUGGAGAAGAGACAGAGAAGGGAGAAAAGUCAAUAAAAGAUGAGCAAGUUGCCUCUUAGGUAACUGGGGCUCAGUCCCACAGGGGACCCUCGGAUAAACUAUGUGGAACACACUGCAGAAAGUGUCCCACAGAAGGACAAGGAAGCUGGAAUAUUUGUCUACCCGAUCCAGUCAGUCCUCCGAUCCUGCUGCCACAGAAGGCUCUUGGACAGAGACCAGCCACUCUUGUUACCAGUCCACACUGGGGAAACUGAUAAGAAUUCUGGCUUGGAGUCAGACGGACAGGUUUUUGCUCAAGCUCGGUCAUCUCCAGCGUGUACCAUGGGCACCAAGGAAAGGCCAUGUGAGAACACAGGAAAAAGGCAACUGUCUGCAAGCCAGGAAGAGAGAUCUCACCAGAAACCACAUUGGCUGCCAUCUUGAUCUUGGACUUCCCAGCUUCCAGAACUGUGAUAAAUAAGGCCACCCAGUCUGUGGUGUUUUGUUUUGGCAGCCGAAGCUGACAGAUAUAGCCCCUUUUCCAUAUCCUCUCAAAGUGCUCACCUCUUUCCCCUCAUAACAGGGAGCUCACUGCUUCCCUGAGGCAGCCAUCCAUCUUGGAAGAUCUGUGCCUGUUGGCAAGGUCUUCCGUUGUUGGGGAGGAAAUCUGCCCACCACGGCUUCCAUACAACAAUCCCAGCUCUGUCUUCUGGACCCACCCAGAACAAGGCCAUUCUCUCUUCCCCACCACCCCUUCAGAUAUUUGCAGGCAGGGACUGUGACCAUCCCACCUACUGUAGGUCCCAUGGGGACAGAGGCCAUGUCUGUCCUGUUUAUUUCUGUGUCCCCAGCACCUUGCACAACACUUGCCCCAGAGGAGGAGCCUUAUACAUAUUUGUUAGUUGAAUGAACAAAACUGGUUCUAUCCGGGCUAAGUAUUUCCAGUUCCUUUAACUGUACCUCCAAGAACCUGGUUUCAAAUCUUCAGUCUCUUUCUUCACCAUGUCAUGCUACUUUUCCAGAAACUGAAUUUUUAUUCCUGUAGAAGAAUGAGGUGUUGGCUCUUACAGCUUGAUGAAUUGUCAGACAUUCCUCCUCUGUCUUCCCUUUUCCUGCGCUCUUCUGUCUUCUCUAUCCUUCCAGGUUACACAGACUCCCCACAAGAGGACAGUGAAUGUUGUAAAAAGCAAACAAAAGGGAAAGAAAAGCUGACACUUGUUAAUGUUCAGUAUGAGUAUUUCCUUGCCUGGGAUAGGAGAGGCAGGGUGGUGCACGCAUUAGGGAACAGAGCUCUGAACCCAGUAGGACAGAGUGCAAAUCUCAGUCUUGCUCGUUGCAGAGCUGUGUGAUCUGGGGUAGGUGGCAACCUCUCUGAGCCUCGGACUCCUUAUCAGUGAGACACCUACCUUUCGUCCCCACCUCAGGUGGAGAGUAAAUGAGAUCAUCAAUACCUGAGACAAAUCCCUUAGCAGGGUGCUCAGCACAUGGUGCUACAGAACAUUGAUGCUAAUAGAGGAUAUGGAGGAAGGCAGUGGGUGCUACAGUGGAAGGGAGACAUCGUCUCUGUUGGAAGGAGCUGGGUUCAAAUCCCAGCUGACUUCCUGACUCACCGGGUCACCUUGGACAAGCGGUUUUCCCUCUCUGAGCCCCCAUGUUCUCAUCUGCAAAAAUGGAGAUGCCAGGCAGUUGGAAAGACUCAGUGAAAGGGUGGCAUGAAAGUCCCCAGCAUGGUGACAGAUCCCCAAAAGAAGUUUGCUCUCUGCCCUUUCAUGUAUAGUGUGAGCUCCUGUGUCUCCCUCUCAGUGAGUCAUUCAGAAGGAAAGGCUGAUUCUCUUGAGUAGACCCACAGCCACAUCACUGUGGAGAAAAAAGUUCAGGUACACAGGGCUGCACAGGGCCAGUCCCCAGGUGUGCUGACACCCCCCCCCCCUUCCAGAUGUCUUCUUCAUAGUAAUAUUGUU